UACGUAGGGUGCGAGCGUUAAUCGGAAUUACUGGGCGUAAAGCGUGCGCAGGCGGAUUGUUAAGCAAGAUGUGAAAUCCCCGGGCUUAACCUGGGAAUGGCAUUUUGAACUGGCAGUCUAGAGUGUGUCAGAGGGGGGUGGAAUUCCACGUGUAGCAGUGAAAUGCGUAGAUAUGUGGAGGAACACCAAUGGCGAAGGCAGCCCCCUGGGAUAACACUGACGCUCAUGUACGAAAGCGUGGGUAGCAAACAGGAUUAGAUACCCUGGUAGUCCACGCCCUAAACGAUGUCAACUGGUUGUUGGGGGAGUGAAAUCCCUUAGUAACGAAGCUAACGCGUGAAGUUGACCGCCUGGGGAGUACGGUCGCAAGAUUAAAACUCAAAGGAAUUGACGGGGACCCGCACAAGCGGUGGAUGAUGUGGAUUAAUUCGAUGCAACGCGAAAAACCUUACCUACCCUUGACAUGUCCGGAAUCCUGCAGAGAUGCGGGAGUGCCCGAAAGGGAAUCGGAACACAGGUGCUGCAUGGCUGUCGUCAGCUCGUGUCGUGAGAUGUUGGGUUAAGUCCCGCAACGAGCGCAACCCUUAUCAUUAGUUGCUACGCAAGGGCACUCUAAUGAGACUGCCGGUGACAAACCGGAGGAAGGUGGGGAUGACGUCAAGUCCUCAUGGCCCUUAUGGGUAGGGCUUCACACGUCAUACAAUGGUCGGUACAGAGGGUUGCCAAGCCGCGAGGUGGAGCCAAUCCCAGAAAGCCGAUCGUAGUCCGGAUUGUUCUCUGCAACUCGAGAGCAUGAAGUCGGAAUCGCUAGUAAUCGCGGAUCAGCAUGUCGCGGUGAAUACGUUCCCGGGUCU
rnacentral:rRNA from 1 species